UGUGUAGGCGGUUCCCUAAGUCUGGUGUGAAAUCUCCCGGCUCAACUGGGAGGGUGCGCCGAAAACUGGGGGGCUAGAGUGUGGGAUGGGAGAGUGGAAUUCCUGGUGUAGCGGUGAAAUGCGUAGAUAUCAGGAGGAACACCUGUGGUGUAGACGGCUCUCUGGACCGCAACUGACGCUGAGACACGAAAGCGUGGGUAGCAAACAGGAUUAGAUACCCUGGUAGUCCACGCCCUAAACGAUGCAUAUUUGGUGUGGGCCAUUCAUUUGGUCCGUGCCGGAGCUAACGCGUUAAAUAUGCCGCCUGGGGAGUACGGUCGCAAGGCUGAA
rnacentral:rRNA from 1 species